rnacentral:rRNA from 1 species
CCGUAGGGUGACCUGCGGAGGGAUCAUUACCGAGUUUACAACUCCCAAACCCCUGUGAACAUACCUUAAUGUUGCCUCGGCGGAUCAGCCCGCGCCCCGUAAAACGGGACGGCCCGCCAGAGGACCCAAACUCUAAUGUUUCUUAUUGUAACUUCUGAGUAAAACAAACAAAUAAAUCAAAACUUUCAACAACGGAUCUCUUGGUUCUGGCAUCGAUGAAGAACGCAGCAAAAUGCGAUAAGUAAUGUGAAUUGCAGAAUUCAGUGAAUCAUCGAAUCUUUGAACGCACAUUGCGCCCGCUGGUAUUCCGGCGGGCAUGCCUGUUCGAGCGUCAUUUCAACCCUCAAGCCCCCGGGUUUGGUGUUGGGGAUCGGCUCUGCCCUUCUGGGCGGUGCCGCCCCCGAAAUACAUUGGCGGUCUCGCUGCAGCCUCCAUUGCGUAGUAGCUAACACCUCGCAACUGGAACGCGGCGCGGCCAUGCCGUAAAACCCCAACUUCUGAAUGUUGACCUCGGAUCAGGUAGGAAUACCCGCUGAACUUAAGCAUAUCAAU